UGGCCCCUGCCGUGCGCGUGAUUGGCGGGCGAGUUAGAGCCAACACAUGAAGAAAGGGAUCCCUUCCUGCCGGUGGUGAGCAUGCCCCGAAGGGGGAAGCCUGAAGCCGGCAUCCACAGGGAGCCCACCUGGUGAAAACCAGGUUCGACUCAAGCGCCGACACGGCACAGAGCAGGGGCUUU
rfam:Deltaproteobacteria bacterium RBG_16_64_85 RBG_16_scaffold_4092, whole genome shotgun sequence.